UACGUAGGGUGCGAGCGUUGUCCGGAAUUAUUGGGCGUAAAGGGCUCGUAGGCGGUUUGUCGCGUCGGGAGUGAAAACUCAGGGCUUAACCCCGAGCCUGCAGUGGAUACGGGCAGACUAGAGGUAGGUAGGGGAGAAUGGAAUUCCCGGUGUAGCGGUGAAAUGCGCAGAUAUCGGGAGGAACACCGGUGGCGAAGGCGGUUCUCUGGGCCUUACCUGACGCUGAGGAGCGAAAGCGUGGGGAGCGAACAGG
rnacentral:rRNA from 1 species